rnacentral:rRNA from 1 species
AUACGUAGGGUGCAAGCGUUAAUCGGAAUUACUGGGCGUAAAGCGUGCGCAGGCGGUUUUGUAAGACAGUGGUGAAAUCCCCGGGCUCAACCUGGGAACUGCCAUUGUGACUGCAAGGCUGGAGUGCGGCAGAGGGGGAUGGAAUUCCGCGUGUAGAAGUGAAAUGCGUAGAUAUGCGGAGGAACACCGAUGGCGAAGGCAAUCCCCUGGGCCUGCACUGACGCUCAUGCACGAAAGCGUGGGGAGCAAACAGGAUUAGAUACCCUGGUAGUCCACGCCCUAAACGAUGUCAACUGGUUGUUGGGGAUUUAUUUUCUCAGUAACGAAGCUAACGCGUGAAGUUGACCGCCUGGGGAGUACGGCCGCAAGGUUAAAACUCAAAGGAAUUGACGGGG